GUCACAAACCCCCUCCGCGCCCCCGGGGCGACCCCGGCCCAGAUCCCCGCGCUCCCCUGAGAUGCGGCCUCGGGAAGGAGAGACCAGGUGUGGUCGGACCCGCGACGCCGACGGCGCUGACGGUGUUUCCCGCUCGCUGAGCUCCGGGGACGCGCGGAGUCGGCGCCUCGUUCUCUCCCUGCAGCUCCUGAGCGACGGGACCGCCCCGGUGAGGGUGAUGGGCCGAGAACCGCGUGGGUUCAAACCCCGGUUCCUCCUUUCCCGCGCGGAGUGACUUCCGGCUGCUCCGGGGGCUCUCCUGGGCCUCUGCUCACCGUUUAUGAAAUGGGGACAUCGCAGUGCAGGCUCCUGGGAGGGCAGAAUCGGAUCACGCCUCCCCUCGGGUCGGUCCCGGCUUCCGCUUGAGUGUCUUGGUGACUGUACUCUGACUUCAGUGGAAACGGGACACUGAAACCAUAAGAGACCUGAGAAAUGAAGUCUUGCAAGACUCGAGGCCAGUCCAAGUUGAACCAGAGUGGGCAGAAGACGUCUUCAGAAUGUGAGGAGGUGAGCAGAGCAGAGCCCAGGCAUGGUUGAGACACCCCAGAGCUCUGCCUCCUGCAGCCCCAGCCCUGGGCUCUCCUCUCGUCUUGCUGUCUCACAUGUGGGAGCAGCCUCCAGCCCCAUCUGUUCUGAAUAGUUCCAGGUC